rnacentral:lncRNA from 1 species
ACGGCCAGCCGCGCGCGGUACUUUGUGUGGGCGUCCUUGAGCGGCAGUUUCUUGGGCGCCGGCGCGGCCGAGGCCUUGGUCUUUUUGGCCGUCUUUGACGCGCUCCCCGACGAUGACGCGCCCUUGCCCGCAGGCUUUUUCGCAGUCUUGGUCUUGGUGGUCGCGCCCUUGGCGGCGCUUGUCUUGGCCGCCUUUUUCGUGGUGGUGGCUCCUGCCUUGGUCGACGAUUUCGCGGUCUUGGCCUUGGUCGCAGCCUUGGUUGACCCGCUCGCGCCGCUCUUUUUCGCCUUGGUCGUCGUCGUGCUCUUUUUCGAGCCAGCCGAAGAGGAGGAGGACGACGACGUCCGUGCCUUCUUGGCCGGCGGCUGGCCGCUGGCCGCUUCCUUGGUCGCCG